GAGGGUUUCCCUGGAGCCCAGGCUCAUUCGGAGUCGGCUGAGGAAGCCGAACCCCAGAGCAAAAGACACCACGAAGAGAAGAGGGUAUCUCUGAAAACAGAAGGGUUGGUGCAGACCGAUGUGCUUGUCAACAUGGCAACCCGGACACACCUGAGAACACCUGCUCCACCACCCAGAUGGCCAUUAUGGGGCAAAUGUCACGCUCUUUCCAUUGUUAUUCUCUUCUCAUUUCUUCAGAGUUGUACAGAGGUCAAGUCCCAUCAAGGGGGUUCCCAACGAUCCCCAUCUCCAUCUUAUCUUAGGAUGAAGCUUGAAAAACGCUUUAGCACUGAAGCCCACCCCUUGGAAAGGCCUCUGCCUGGACAAAGAAAGGGCUGCCUCAAUUGCAUAAGUUUGAGUGUUUUUGGAAAAUAUUCCUGCUCCCAAAUAGAUCUCCUAUAUUGACAUGUCACACUGGCUGAAAUUCCACCAAUAGAGCUCUCCUUUUGAUGUAAAAAAGUCUUGAAUUUUUGUCAACCUUAAUUUUUUUCUCACAUAAAGAUGUUUUCCCAAGACUUUUGCAACCUACCAUUUGUCUACUGAGAGUCUGACCCAUAAAAGACCCCCCCAAAAUAUAGUAUCUAUUUACUAUCUGAUGAAUGAUCAAAGUAAAUAAACAAAUAAACGAGUAGCAGCCUAAAAUUAGAGAGCUCAAAGAAAGCCAUCCUUCAUCUAGAACUCUCUGUUUUGUUUUAAUGGAGUUGAACAGAUAGCGUAAUUGCAUGAACUUGUUCUUUGAGGGGGUGGAUAUAUAUAAGUUUUGUGAUGUUACAAACAGUAUUAUAAUUAAAGGUGCUUCUGCAUCUGAAAAAUUUUAAAACCACUGGAUUCAGGUGAUUGGUUCUGAUAGCACUUGUUCAUACAAUAGAAUAAACUAAAGAAUAAACUUUUGUCAAGGUAUCUUUCUUCAAACACCUUUCUGGGUGUCUCGGCAUCAGCAAGGAAUCAUAUUGAAAAGACUCAGCACAGAGCCUAGCAUACAGUAAUCCCAGAAUGUAGUGCAGUGGUAUUAUUCAUACUUGGGGACUUGAACUUGGAGACUUAACAUUUAUUUGGUCUAGAGUAUUUUAAAAUCACCCAUUCUGUCUCUUAAAGAGCAAGAACCGUGAUGGAGAGGUAGCAAAUACCUUCACCUGGGGUUCUCUGCAGCUGGAAGGCACAGAGCACAUAGCAAGCCAUCAAGAGGAAGAGCUCCAACCAGAAACUUCUCCCACACCUCGGGCUCACCAAGGAGAGUCUACAGAUCAUGCAAUGCAAAGAGCAGGAGGGAGGAAGCAACGGUCAAGAUGUCAUCUUGUCAUCUUCGCCUGGACUUCCCACUACAACUUUCUCUGUUCUGAAUCUAUGCCAAGCAAACAACAUAGUACCCGGGACAUGGAAUUCUGGAGAUCGACUAUCCACUAGAGGUAUAGUAGCUCCAUGAAGCCUCCAAGGAUCCAGGAGCCUUCCGUCUUUUUGAUCAGCCGUAUUAACAUGUAGCUUUUUGGGUCUGGUCAAGGACAUUGCGCAGGGACAAGGCUGAGGCAAGGCUACAAACCUGGACUUCACUCUGCGAUGGAAAUGAAGCUUCUCAAGAUCUCUGUGUAGAGGAGGGCAGCUUGAUUGCUAGUGAGAUGACCUCAUGCUACUUUUAUGAAAGAGAAAAGAAAAAUCAAGGUCGAUGGAGAGAAGAGAGAGAGAAGGCAGAUGGAACUCUUUUCCAGAGAAAAUGCUAACGCUCAAGGAUUGCCAGAGGUGGCCAUGAACUUGCUGUCCAGUGUGGUUCAGAGGAAAACACAAAAGCAUAAGAGCAGGUCUGGAGGAGAACACAGAACUGACAGAGAGGCUACCUCUGUAGAGGGGAUGGAAUUAGGGCCAUGGAGGGGGUGGUAAAGGUGGUCAGGGAGAAGUUAGACUUACUUGUAGUGCAUUAAAUUUCAGGAUGGGUAUAUAUUCAUGCGAUGCUUAUAUAAUUAAAAUUAAUGUUUAAUAGAGAAAAGACGUGAGAUUUGGAGUUGUAAGUUCUGGACUUAAGACUUGCCUUUUCUAUUUGGAGACAUUCAGACAUCAUUUAUAGAGCAACUAUUAUAUGCCAAAGAGUAUGCCAGGCACCAACGGUACAAAUAAAAAUGUCCUAAAAUUUACGAUCAUAA